AACAAGCCAAGUGAAAGAGAGAAGAAAAGUCAAAGACAAUGUCAGGGAUCAUUCACAAGAUUGAGGAGACCCUUCAUGUGGGAGGCCACAAGAAGGAGGAGGAGCACAAGGGUGAGCAGCACCAUGGUGGAGAAUACAAAGGGGAGCAUCAUGGUGAACACAGUACUGAAUACAAAGGAGAGCAUCAUGUUGGUGAGCACAAGCCGGAGCACCAUGGAGGAGAAGAGCACAAAGAGGGGUUCCUAGACAAGAUCAAGGACAAGAUCCACGGCGAGGAGGGUGGCGCCACCGCCGAGGGCGAGAAGAAGAAGAAGAAGAAGGAGAAGAAGAAGCAUGAACAUGGCCAUGACAGCAGCAGCAGCAGUGACAGUGAUUAGAUUAUCUCCCACUGCUGCAUCACCUAUAUAUCUUAUAAGGUAUACUUUUGUUUUGCAUUGUUAUGUUAUGCUCUAUCCAAAUUCUCCACAUUUUUCUAUUACAACAUGGGUGAUGAAUCACGAAAUUUAUGAUCUUAUUUUCUUCUAUCACACUUGAGCUAACAAAUCAAAUUAUGCAUUUUGGCACAAUGGCACCCCUGCUCGUUGAGAUCUCAUUUUUAGCCUAAUAUAACCGACUGAAGAUUUUAUAUUCAUGGAAUAUUCGUCAAACUUUCUUUUCUAUAUAUAUAUAUAUAAUUCAUCAAUUUCUGCUCCUGCAUGUAUAUCUUCUAUAUUAAAAUGGAUAAUGUUAAGUGUAUACUGCAUUUUUGAGAGAUAAGAAAAAAGAAAAGAAAAAAAAGACGAAAUGAGGAAGAAGUAAAAGGUAAAGAAAGAUGAUAAAAAAAUUGUGAUGGAAAAAAGAUUAGAAAAACAUGAAAAUUGAAAUAUAAGAAAGAAGUAUAUAAAAUUAGGAUUUUUUUUCUAAAUAAAUAAUGACUAACGUUUGCUAGCAUAUGUUCUAAUUUUUUUUUUUCCUCCUUGUCUGAUGCAGGUGUAUGGGACCAUAGUAGUGAGGGCUGUGUCUUUCUCUUUUUUUCCUACUUGUCAUUUAUAUUUAUGAGCGAGAGAAAUAGUGCGUGUAUCUGGUUGCUAAUUCGAGUGCUAUUAGUCUGUGGUUUCGUUGGUUUGUAACCCCUCUGCUUUGGUUAUGCUGGAUUGUAUAUUAUCCUUAAAGAAAUAAAAGAUUAAAUUAUCAAUGCGUAUUAGUAGUAUUACAUGGUAUCUAUUGUGGUUAGAUCAGCAGAAAAAAAAAAUUCUAUUGUGAUUACAUUGUUAUUCCAAGUUCCAACAUAUCGCAAUUGAUGUGACUAUAAUUAUGAUCACCGUGAUUCCAAAAACAAUGAUAUUAUGAUUGAAAUUAUGGUCCGCAAAUUAUUUUUUAAAACCUUUGAUCAUUUCCACCAAAAAAUGUUGAUAAACUUAAUUUUUUUUACUUGUGAUCAAUUUAAUUAUAGUAUAACUUUAUAAUUGUUACAAAUAUUUAAUAUUUGUGAUUUUCAGAUUUGUAUAUUUUUUUAAAACAAAAUUAGUAUAAACGACUACACCCACUCGUAAAGAACAUGCUCAUGGUCGUUCCCAUAAUUUCAUCACAAGUGGUGGAUAACAUUUUUUUUCUCUAACAAAUUAACAACGCUUCCGCUUUAUCCCUCACUUUUGUGCCUAUAAAAUACCAUUCAAUAGUAUAUACCAUACCAAAAACAAAAACAAGAGAGAAUUAGCUAAGUGAAAGAGAGAAAAAAACAGAGACAAUGUCAGGGAUCAUUCACAAGAUUGAGGAAACCCUUCAUGUG
rnacentral:lncRNA from 1 species